rnacentral:rRNA from 1 species
GAUGAACGCUGGCGGCGUGCCUAAUACAUGCAAGUCGAGCGAACAGAUGAGGAGCUUGCUCCUCUGACGUUAGCGGCGGACGGGUGAGUAACACGUGGAUAACCUACCUAUAAGACUGGGAUAACUUCGGGAAACCGGAGCUAAUACCGGAUAAUAUAUUGAACCGCAUGGUUCAAUAGUGAAAGACGGUUUUGCUGUCACUUAUAGAUGGAUCCGCGCCGCAUUAGCUAGUUGGUAAGGUAACGGCUUACCAAGGCAACGAUGCGUAGCCGACCUGAGAGGGUGAUCGGCCAAACUGGAACUGAGACAAGGUCCAGACUCCUACGGGAGGCAGCAGUAGGGAAUCUUCCGCAAUGGGCGAAAGCCUGACGGAGCAACGCCGCGUGAGUGAUGAAGGUCUUCGGAUCGUAAAACUCUGUUAUUAGGGAAGAACAAAUGUGUAAGUAACUAUGCACGUCUUGACGGUACCUAAUCAGAAAGCCACGGCUAACUACGUG